rnacentral:rRNA from 1 species
UGGGGAAUAUUGGACAAUGGGCGAAAGCCUGAUCCAGCCAUGCCGCGUGUGUGAAGAAGGUCUUCGGAUUGUAAAGCACUUUAAGUUGGGAGGAAGGGCAGUAAGCGAAUACCUUGCUGUUUUGACGUUACCGACAGAAUAAGCACCGGCUAACUCUGUGCCAGCAGCCGCGGUAAUACAGAGGGUGCAAGCGUUAAUCGGAAUUACUGGGCGUAAAGCGCGCGUAGGUGGUUCGUUAAGUUGAAUGUGAAAGCCCCGGGCUCAACCUGGGAACUGCAUCCAAAGCUGGCGAGCUAGAGUAGGGCAGAGGGUGGUGGAAUUUCCUGUGGAGCGGUGAAAUGCGUAGAUAUAGGAAGGAACACCAGUGGCGAAGGCGACCACCUGGGCUCAUACUGACACUGAGGUGCGAAAGCGUGGGGAGCAAACAGG